AAAUAAACCGGGUGCCUAGACCGCCUGCGCCACAAUCUGCCCGGCCCCGCUCGGCUCGUGCUCACGCCGUGCAUGUGUAACUCUCAUUUUCUCCAAAAAAAACUAACUUGAGAAUGAAGGAGUAUACAAAUAACAACAACAUAUUUUUAGUUUUCAAUGUGGAACUAAUCCUCAUAUGUGGAAAUCUUAGUAUAACCUCCCAGGCAAGGCCCAUGGAAAUAUCGGGCUACCCAGGA
rnacentral:lncRNA from 1 species